UAAAAGAUGUGAAAGAAGUCACAUCUUUGGUUGGAAGAGAAACAGCCCCGCAGCAUCACUCAUCCACCACUCUACUCAACAGUGAGGUGGGGAUCCUAUUACGGUGGAAUGCCCUGAUUCAAACCAUUCUUUCAUCAAUGCUUGAAGCGGUCUGCGUGCCGAGGAGCUGGAUUCUGCUCACCUCUGGAUAUGAAAGUAGAGGGAACACAUCCAUUCAAGGAUUCGGAAAGUCGAAUGAACACAUUGGACAAUAUAAUAUGACAAACAAUUCAUCAGGUUGUUUUUAACUUAAAUAUUGCUUUUGAUCAAUUUUUAUGGAUUUAAUUGAAGAGUCUGUAAUUAAUCGUAAUUAACAUUUUCACUGAAUUAGUAACAUUUUCAAUUAAAAAGCCUUUUUGCUAC